rnacentral:rRNA from 1 species
UACGUAGGGGGCGAGCGUUGUCCGGAUUUAUUGGGCGUAAAGAGCUCGUAGGCGGCUUGGCAAGUCGGGUGUGAAAACUCCAGGCUCAACCUGGAGACGCCACUCGAGACUGCUAUGGCUAGAGUCCGGUAGGGGACCACGGAAUUCCUGGUGUAGCGGUGAAAUGCGCAGAUAUCAGGAGGAACACCGGUGGCGAAGGCGGUGGUCUGGGCCGGCACUGACGCUGAAGAGCGAAAGCGUGGGGAGCAAACAGG